rnacentral:rRNA from 1 species
UGGGGGAUAUUGGUCAAUGGGGGAAACCCUGAACCAGCAAUGCCGCGUGAAGGAAGACGGUCUUCGGAUUGUAAACUUUUGUUGUCGAGGAAGAUAAUGACGGUACUCGACGAGGAAGCCACGGCUAACUACGUGCCAGCAGCCGCGGUAAUACGUAGGUGGCAAGCGUUGUCCGGAUUUACUGGGUGUAAAGGGUGCGUAGGCGGGUAAUAAAGUCAGAUGUGAAAUGCCGAAGCUUAACUUCGGAGCUGCAUUUGAAACUUAUUAUCUUGAGUGAGGUAGAGGCAAGCGGAAUUCCUAGUGUAGCGGUGAAAUGCGUAGAUAUUAGGAGGAACACCAGUGGCGAAGGCGGCUUGCUGGGCCUUAACUGACGCUGAGGCACGAAAGCAUGGGGAGCAAACA